CAGUCGCCACGGUAAAACGGAGGGUGCAAGCGUUAAUUGGAAUUACUGGGCGUAAAGCGUGCGCAGGCGGUUUUGUAAGUCUGUCGUGAAAUCCCCGGGCUCAACCUGGGAAUGGCGAUGGAGACUGCAAGGCUAGAAUCUGGCAGAGGGGGGUAGAAUUCCACGUGUAGCAGUGAAAUGCGUAGAUAUGUGGAGGAACACCGAUAGCGAAGGCAGCCCCCUGGGCUAAGAUUGACGCUCAUGCACGAAAGCGUGGGGAGCAAACAGGAUUAGAUACCUCGGUAGUCCCUGUCUCUUAUAC
rnacentral:rRNA from 1 species